AGGACGAACGCUGGCGGCGUGCGUAAUACAUGCAAGUCGAGCGGACUCGGGCUUCGGUUCGGGUUAGCGGCGGACGGGUGAGUAACGCGUGAGUGACCUAGCCUGUUGGUGGGGGAUAACUGCCCGAAAGGGUGGCUAAUCCCGCAUGAUCCCUUUGGACCAAUCCAAAGGGGAAAGCCUCGCAAGAGGCGCCGGAGGGGGGGCUCGCGUCCCAUUAGGUGGUUGGUGGGGUAGUGGCCUACCAAGCCUGUGAUGGGUAGCUGGUCUGAGAGGAUGGCCGGCCACACUGGGACUGAGAAACGGCCCAGACUCCUACGGGGGGCAGCAGUAAGGGAUCUUCGCCAAUGGCC
rnacentral:rRNA from 1 species